ACCUGGUUGAUUCUGCCGGACCCGACUGCUAUCAGAGUGGGACUAAGCCAUGCGAGUCAACAUAGCAAUAUGUGGCAUACGGCUCAGUAACACGUAGUCAACAUGCCCAGGGGACGUAGAUAACCUCGGGAAACUGAGGAUAAACCGCGAUAAGUCACUACUUCUGGAAUGGGUAAUGACUCAAAUCUAUAUGGCCCCUGGAUUGGACUGCGGCCGAUCAGGCUGUUGGUGAGGUAAUGGCCCACCAAACCUGUAACCGGUACGGGCUCUGAGAGGAGGAGCCCGGAGAUGGGCACUGAGACAAGGGCCCAGGCCCUAUGGGGCGCAGCAGGCGCGAAACCUCUGCAAUAGGCGAAAGCUUGACAGGGUUACUCUGAGUGAUUUCCGUUAAGGAAAUCUUUUGGCACCUCUAAAAAUGGUGCAGAAUAAGGGGUGGGCAAGUCUGGUGUCAGCCGCCGCGGUAAUACCAGCACCCCGAGUGGUCGGGACGUUUAUUGGGCCUAAAGCAUCCGUAGCCGGUUCUACAAGUCUUCCGUUAAAUCCAACUGCUUAACAGGUGGGCUGCGGAAGAUACUAUAGAGCUAGGAGGCGGGAGAGGCAAGCGGUACUCGAUGGGUAGGGGUAAAAUCCGUUGAUCCAUUGAAGACCACCAGUGGCGAAGGCGGCUUGCCAGAACGCGCUCGACGGUGAGGGAUGAAAGCUGGGGGAGCAAACCGGAUUAGAUACCCGGGUAGUCCCAGCUGUAAACGAUGCAGACUCGGUGAUGAGUUGGCUAUAUGCCAUCUCAGUGCCGCAGGGAAGCCGUUAAGUUUGCCGCCUGGGGAGUACGGUCGCAAGACUGAAACUUAAAGGAAUUGGCGGGGGAGCACCACAAGGGGUGAAGCCUGCGGUUCAAUUGGAGUCAACGCCGGA
rnacentral:rRNA from 1 species